rnacentral:rRNA from 1 species
AUAGUUUGAUCAUGGCUCAGAUUGAACGCUGGCGGCAGGCCUAACACAUGCAAGUCGAACGGUAGCAGGAUGUGCUUGCACAUCGCUGACGAGUGGCGGACGGGUGAGUAAUGCUUGGGAACUUGCCUUUGCGAGGGGGAUAACAGUUGGAAACGACUGCUAAUACCGCAUAAUGUCUACGGACCAAACGGGGCUUUUAGCUCCGGCGCAAAGAGAGGCCCAAGUGAGAUUAGCUAGUUGGUGAGGUAAAGGCUCACCAAGGCGACGAUCUCUAGCUGUUCUGAGAGGAAGAUCAGCCACACUGGGACUGAGACACGGCCCAGACUCCUACGGGAGGCAGCAGUGGGGAAUAUUGCACAAUGGGGGAAACCCUGAUGCAGCCAUGCCGCGUGUGUGAAGAAGGCCUUCGGGUUGUAAAGCACUUUCAGUUGUGAGGAAAGGUUGGUAGUUAAUACCUGCCAGCUGUGACGUUAACAACAGAAGAAGCACCGGCUAACUCCGUGCCAGCAGCCGCGGUAAUACGGAGGGUGCGAGCGUUAAUCGGAAUUACUGGGCGUAAAGCGCACGCAGGCGGUUUGUUAAGCUAGAUGUGAAAGCCCCGGGCUCAACCUGGGAUGGUCAUUUAGAACUGGCAGACUAGAGUCUUGGAGAGGGGAGUGGAAUUCCAGGUGUAGCGGUGAAAUGCGUAGAUAUCUGGAGGAACAUCAGUGGCGAAGGCGACUCCCUGGCCAAAGACUGACGCUCAUGUGCGAAAGUGUGGGUAGCGAACAGGAUUAGAUACCCUGGUAGUCCACACCGUAAAC